AUUGAACGCUGGCGGCAUGCUUUACACAUGCAAGUCGAACGGUAACAGGCCUUCGGGUGCUGACGAGUGGCGAACGGGUGAGUAAUGCAUCGGAACGUGCCCAGAGGUGGGGGAUAACGCAGCGAAAGCUGUGCUAAUACCGCAUGUGAUCUGAGGAUGAAAGCGGGGGACCAGGCAGCAAUGUUUGGCCUCGCGCCUUUGGAGCGGCCGAUGUCAGAUUAGGUAGUUGGUGGGGUAAAGGCCUACCAAGCCGACGAUCUGUAGCUGGUCUGAGAGGACGACCAGCCACACGGGGACUGAGACACGGCCCAGACUCCUACGGGAGGCAGCAGUGGGGAAUUUGGGACAAUGGGCGCAAGCCUGAUCCAGCAAUGCCGCGUGCGGGAAGAAGGCCUUCGGGUUGUAAACGGCUUUUGUACGGAACGAAAAGGCUCUGGCUAAUACCUGGGGCUGAUGACGGUACCGUAAGAAUAAGAACCGGCUAACUACGUG
rnacentral:rRNA from 1 species